UGAUGGUGCUUGCACCUGAUUGAUUUUGGUCGCCAACGAGUGGCGGACGGGUGAGUAACACGUAGGUAACCUGCCCAGAAGCGGGGGACAACAUUUGGAAACAGAUGCUAAUACCGCAUAAGAACGUUGUUCGCAUGAACAACGCUUAAAAGAUGGCUUCUCGCUAUCACUUCUGGAUGGACCUGCGGUGCAUUAGCUUGUUGGUGGGGUAACGGCCUACCAAGGCGAUGAUGCAUAGCCGAGUUGAGAGACUGAUCGGCCACAAUGGGACUGAGACACGGCCCAUACUCCUACGGGAGGCAGCAGUAGGGAAUCUUCCACAAUGGGCGCAAGCCUGAUGGAGCAACACCGCGUGAGUGAAGAAGGGUUUCGGCUCGUAAAGCUCUGUUGUUAAAGAAGAACACGUAUGAGAGUAACUGUUCAUACGUUGACGGUAUUUAACCAGAAAGUCACGGCUAACUACGUGCCAGCAGCCGCGGUAAUACGUAGGUGGCAAGCGUUAUCCGGAUUUAUUGGGCGUAAAGAGAGUGCAGGCGGUUUUCUAAGUCUGAUGUGAAAGCCUUCGGCUUAACCGGAGAAGUGCAUCGGAAACUGGAUAACUUGAGUGCAGAAGAGGGUAGUGGAACUCCAUGUGUAGCGGUGGAAUGCGUAGAUAUAUGGAAGAACACCAGUGGCGAAGGCGGCUACCUGGUCUGCAACUGACGCUGAGACUCGAAAGCAUGGGUAGCGAACAGGAUUAGAUACCCUGGUAGUCCAUGCCGUAAACGAUGAGUGCUAGGUGUUGGAGGGUUUCCGCCCUUCAGUGCUGGAGCUAACGCAUUAAGCACUCCGCCUGGGGAGUACGACCGCAAGGUUGAAACUCAAAGGAAUUGACGGGGGCCCGCACAAGCGGUGGAGCAUGUGGUUUAAUUCGAAGCUACGCGAAGAACCUUACCAGGUCUUGACAUCUUGCGCCAACCCUAGAGAUAGGGCGUUUCCUUCGGGAACGCAAUGACAGGUGGUGCAUGGUCGUCGUCAGCUCGUGUCGUGAGAUGUUGGGUUAAGUCCCGCAACGAGCGCAACCCUUGUUACUAGUUGCCAGCAUUAAGUUGGGCACUCUAGUGAGACUGCCGGUGACAAACCGGAGGAAGGUGGGGACGACGUCAGAUCAUCAUGCCCCUUAUGACCUGGGCUACACACGUGCUACAAUGGACGGUACAACGAGUCGCGAACUCGCGAGGGCAAGCAAAUCUCUUAAAACCGUUCUCAGUUCGGACUGCAGGCUGCAACUCGCCUGCACGAAGUCGGAAUCGCUAGUAAUCGCGGAUCAGCAUGCCGCGGUGAAUACGUUCCCGGGCCUUGUACACACCGCCCGUCACACCAUGAGAGUUUGUAACACCCAAAGUCGGUGGGGUAACCUUUUAGG
rnacentral:rRNA from 1 species